AGAGUUUGAUCCUGGCUCAGGAUGAACGCUAGCGACAGGCUUAACACAUGCAAGUCGAGGGGCAGCAUGAGGUAGCAAUACCUUGAUGGCGACCGGCGCACGGGUGAGUAACGCGUAUGCAACCUGCCCGAUACCGGGGUAUAGCCCAUGGAAACGUGGAUUAACACCCCAUAGUACUUUUAUCCUGCCUGGGAUGGGAGUUAAAUGUUCAAGGUAUCGGAUGGGCAUGCGUCCUAUUAGUUAGUUGGCGGGGUAACAGGCCCACAAGACGAUGAUAGGUAGGGGUUCUGAGAGGAAGGUCCCCCACAUUGGAACUGAGACACGGUCCAAACUCCUACGGGAGGCA
rnacentral:rRNA from 1 species